rnacentral:rRNA from 1 species
GACGAAGGAUGCAAGCGUUAUCCGGAUUCAUUGGGUUUAAAGGGAGCGUAGGCGGCCUUGUAAGUCAGUGGUGAAAUCUCGCAGCUUAACUGCGAAACUGCCAUUGAUACUGCUUGGCUAGAGUAUAGAUGCUGUGGGCGGAAUAUGACAUGUAGUGGUGAAAUACAUAGAGAUGUCAUAGAACACCGAUUGCGAAGGCAGCUCACAAAACUAUAACUGACGCUGAGGCUCGAAAGUGUGGGGAUCAAACAGG